rnacentral:misc_RNA from 1 species
GGCCAAGAACGUUAUUUUGACUGAGACCAAAAUUGAUGCCACAGUAUGUAAAACUUUUGAUUGAUUAUCCCAUAAACAGUUUCCCAAUUAGCUGAAAACCUAAAUAAAUAUCAAAGUGACAACUAAAAUUUAAUCAAAAUAGAAUCCAGAGAUCCUCAAGAUGGCCCAGUCCAACAGCAUGCCUGAUGACAAGUUUCUGUGGGAUGUAUUUCAGCGCAUUGACAAGAACAAGAGCGGCUUUAUUUCCGCCGAUGAACUGCAGGUGGCGCUUUCGAAUGGCACUUGGUCGGCCUUCAAUCCAGAAACAGUGCGACUGAUUAUUGGCAUGUUCGAUCACGAGUACCGAGGCACAGUUUCCUUUCGGGACUUUGGAGCAUUGUGGAAGUACGUGACCGAUUGGCAACAUUGUUUUCGCUCAUUUGAUACCGACAAUUCCGGCUAUAUCGAUAGGCAAGAACUGAAAAGUGCGCUCAGCACAUUUGGAUAUCGCCUAACAGAUCGUCUAAUUGAAAUCCUAUUACACAAAUUCGAUCGAUUCGGCCGGGGAAAUAUUCUAUUUGACGACUUCAUACAAUGUUGCAUUGUGCUGCACACGCUGACAACUUUGUUCAAGUCACACGAUACUGAUAUGAAGGGUGUCAUUACCAUAAACUAUGAACAGUUCCUCCGAAUGGUAUUGGCACUUAAAAUAUGACAGGGGUAUUUGUGCUCAAUUGAGGAAUUAAAGGGGUUUAUCAAAGCUGACUGGUAGAAAUAUAAAAUGGCCUACUUUUGGGCAGGUCUUUAUCGGAGUCUUAAAUGAGAGAUGCUCAGGCCAUUAUGAAGGAAGCAAGGCAAGUCGAAAC